rnacentral:tRNA from 3 species
GAGGGUGUAGCUCAGUUGGUAGAGCGGGGGACUGUGGAUCCCCGUGUCGCGGGUUCGAGUCCCGUCACCCUCCCCA